rnacentral:rRNA from 1 species
AGUGAGGGAGAGGCAGAUGGAAUUGGUGGUGUAGGGGUAAAAUCCGUAGAUAUCACCAAGAAUACCCAUUGCGAAGGCGAUCUGCUGGAACUCAACUGACGCUAAGGCGCGAAAGCGUGGGGAGCAAACAGGAUUAGAUACCCUGGUAGUCCACGCCCUAAACGAUGUACACUAGUUGUUGGGGUGCUAGUCAUCUCAGUAAUGCAGCUAACGCAUUAAGUGUACCGCCUGGGGAGUACGGUCGCAAGAUUAAAACUCAAAGGAAUAGACGGGGACCCGCACAAGCGGUGGAGCAUGUGGUUUAAUUCGAAGAUACGCGAAGAACCUUACCUGGGCUUGAUAUCCUAAGAACCUUUUAGAGAUAAGAGGGUGCUAGCUUGCUAGAACUUAGAGACAGGUGCUGCACGGCUGUCGUCAGCUCGUGUCGUGAGAUGUUGGGUUAAGUCCCGCAACGAGCGCAACCCACGUAUUUAGUUGCUAACGGUUCGGCCGAGCACUCUAAAUAGACUGCCUUCGUAAGGAGGAGGAAGGUGUGGACGACGUCAAGUCAUCAUGGCCCUUAUGCCCAGGGCGACACACGUGCUACAAUGGCAUAUACAAUGAGACGCAAUACCGCGAGGUGGAGCAAAUCUAUAAAAUAUGUCCCAGUUCGGAUUGUUCUCUGCAACUCGAGAGCAUGAAGCCGGAAUCGCUAGUAAUCGUAGAUCAGCCAUGCUACGGUGAAUACGUUCCCGGGUCUUGUACUCACCGCCCGUCACACCAUGGGAGUUGAUUUCACUCGAAGCCGGAAUACUAAACUAGUUACCGUCCACAGUGGAAUCAGCGACUGGGGUGAAGUCGUAACAAGGUAACCGUAGGAGAACCUGCGGUUGGAUCACCUCCUUUCUA